rnacentral:rRNA from 1 species
CUUUACUAUAACUUGGCCCUGAAACCCGAACGAAUCUGUGUAGCAUAGGUGGGAGACUUUGAAGCAUCGGCGCUAGCCGGAGUGGAGUCACCAUUGAAAUACCACCCUGAUUCUUUUGUGUUUCUAACCUAGUCCCAUUAUCUGGGACAGGAACACGGUCUGGUGGGUAGUUUGACUGGGGCGGUCGCCUCCCAAAUUGUAACGGAGGCGCACAAAGGUUCCCUCAGCCUGGACGGAAAUCAGGCGAAGAGUGUAUAGGCACAAAGGGAGCUUGACUGUGAGACCUACAAGUCGAGCAGGUGCGAAAGCAGGUCUAAGUGAUCCGGCGGUUCCGAAUGGAAGGGCCGUCGCUCAACGGAUAAAAGGUA